UUUCAUUCGAUACCUACUUCCUUGUAGUCACAGGUUAAACGCACUUAAACACUUGCUUUGCAGUGAAAAUUACUCCUAUUUAAAUGUUCGUAAUAUAUCAUGAAAUAAACUGAGGUUGGGCUUUCUUGAUCGAGUCAUGCUUUAUCCGACCGCUGUUUACCCGCGCUUGUUGAUCAAGCCGCUGAUAGCAGGCAGCCAGGACAACCCCUGAAGGGAACGACAGGGUAGCAGGCGCAGUGCCGCACUACUCACACCUACCGUUUUCGACGGCGCAGGCGAUGCGAAACCUACCUGCCGAAGUCGCCCCCGACAGGAUUCCAGCCUGAGGACACCACCCUCAGCCCAGGCGGUUGGCUACCUGAGUUACUAGGCCCGCUGCAGCACGACACACCAAUUUGCAGACUACGUGCUCCGCGACGACGCCCUUGACCCUCGGGAACGGACAUAGAGGCUCUAUGCCCGCCCCUCAGGCCUAGGGGGGACUGGCACCGCAUCCGCACCGUGUACCCCUUAUCAAGGCCCAUACCUGCUGGCAGGACAGGCCUACCCUACCUGACCAGCGGGCCGUCAUCCCGGAAGCGCCAGAGUGACUACCACCAUGAGAGAAAGUGGGUUUAGCAAAUGGGUCAGCAAAUCACCCUGACGGCCUCCACCCUAACGAGAUAGAGAUCUCGAAGGAGCAGAAAGACUCCGGAUCAGUGAAGCUGUUAAGGGUCCGAGCCUGGCGGUACCCCAUUACUCUAUGAACGUUUAUGAGAAGGGAGGAUGGAAUAUUUGUCCAACUCCCCACCUCACAUUCAUCUCGCGGGGAAGCACUUUAACCGUAGGCCCAAUCCUGCCUCGGCAGGCUUGUGCCUACGUUUCCAGCAGGCGCCACUAGGAGGCAGACUUCCUCAGUAACUAAGUCUCAAGGAGGGUUUUCACGUCACUCGGGGAGUCACGGCAUGACACCAUCCCGGGACCUCCAGGAGUCAUAGUUACUCCCGGAGGAUAAUAUAGUGCAUCAAGUGCAUCAAGCCUAGUUUGGGGGAAUUGCCGCAGUUUGAAUUUACCACCUUUGAUGUGGCAUGCCGCCAGUAAAGUGCAGCAGCAUUGUCGCUCAGAGCUAGCCACUGGAGAUGAAAAGUUCAAAACAAACAACCCACAUUAACUGCUGAUAAUCAAGGAGUUCCUGAGACUAGAACCACAAACAGAUGAACCAGGCCCAAGAGUAGCAAUUUUGUGAGCGCUGGAGAAAUAUAGGCUCUCAGUAAUUGCCAUUCUCAAGAAAAGAAAAGCAGUUCCUCUUUAUAUGAAAAUCUUACUUGAACUCUAUGACCACAAUGAAAGUCAAUGCGAGUAAUAAUGCCUAGUUCAAUUUGUUCAUUUCAGUAGCUGGUAGCAAGUUAAUAUAUGUAUCUUUUCAUCAUUACCAAUGCAUCUUUCACUUUUAUAAACUUAAGUAUUCAUAGUAUUCAGGAAACUAUGCUGCAUGUGAAAACCAAACAUUGUAUUAAACUGGCAUGACCUGUCUCCCUGUAAUGCUUGCACCAUUUUAUAUUAAAAUACUCAUUUAAUUGUUAAAUUUCUAUCAAAUUUUUGGCUGAAUGCCAUGGCUAAGUAAAUGUUUGCAGCAUAAGUGAUGGCAAAGAUUUUAAUAGGUGUAAAGCAGCUCGCUCUCUCUCUCUCUCUCUCUCUCUCUCUCUCUCUCUCUCUCUCUCUCUCUCUCUCUCUCUCUAGUAAGGAAAGGCAUUAUUUUCCAGUGAAAAGAAACCUAAUAGGCUGUCCAGUUUGAAAUUUAAAAUGCAAAUAUCAUCAAUCUUUUAAAAUUGCUAGCUGCAUGCUCUCCCCUUGCAGUCCAAUAAGACAGGUCACUAAUUCGCAUGGACGGGGAAAACUGAUGUCAUAUUCCCAAGACAACAGAAUUCUCUGAAUUAACUUCACCUACAAUGACGAUGGUGCAAGUGCAAACAGUCAUGUAAAGUUUUCUGCCAUGGUUGUGAUGCAGUUCAUGACUUCUCACACAGUUGUGGUGGAUAUGUUGAGAAGAAUCAGGGGUACGGCACAUCAGCGCAUCAGGGCAAAUAGGUUCAGCUGGGGUUUUCUAAUUUUUUUUUCACAAUCAAUGCUCAUAUUCUUACAAGAACUUGCUAGACAAAGCAUUACUGCAUUAUGAUAUUACCAAAAUAGUGUCUCAAGUAAAAAAACAUAACAGCGUACUCGUACAAAUAAUUUUGCUGCUGUGACACUCAUGACAAUAUUUGUUCCUAUACUGGUCAUUCAGAGCAUUCAGUCAUUUCAGUCAUAUAAUCAGGAACUAAUCAAGGAACUUUAUUUUUGCUCAUUCUUGUGUGAUAAAGCAAUAAUUACUAUGAGGAGAAUUGUACAAGAUUGGUACUCAAAUUAGUGGAUAUGACCAUCUAUUCACUUGCAUCCAUGCACAGUUAAUUUUCUUGUUAACUAUUGUUUGUUUGAUAUACUUAUUAUUAUAUUUAUUUAUCUCUUAACACAAGAUGCUUACUUAGUUAUAAUGGGGUUACUUCACCUGUUUGAAGAAAGGAAAAACUAUUUUUACUCAGGUUAAAUUUCAGCACCUUUGAUUUUAGAGUGGUAUGUAUAUAUUGAAAUUUCUGAAUAUAUUAUUACCUUAACAUAUACAUUUAUUUAUCAGUCUUUUUGUAAAUGUCCAAAGGUUAUUAAUUUUUACACUACUAUUUCUUUUUUUAGGUACCAAAAGAACUAAGAAAAGGUCAGUCUAGUGUGUCCAUUCAACAUGCUGGGCACAUACAUAUGUUAGACAGAUAUUGUGUAUUAUUUGAUGGUGCACCUGUAGCUGAACCAACAUGUAUUGCUAUGGCUGUAGCCUCAUUGGUAGCAGGGCUCUAUGUGUUUAACAUUGAACAUCCAAAAAAUUGUGAACAUUUCCUCUGUUUCAGAACAUCACAUCUCUUAGGUAUCAAGUAUGACAGAGGUAACACUUCAAAAAACCAGAUCUCUACUUGUAAAACUCAAUGAAAUAAAGACAGAAUUGAGCUACAAAAAAAGCAUAAAUCUGCUUCCUAAUAUAUUCAGCUUCACACUAACUAAUGCAAGUAAGGUUACAGCUACAUUAAAUCCAUGAGAAUUAAUAAAUUUUCCAUUUCUGAUCUUAUCUUGUGUGCUUCCUAUGAUUCUCUCUCUCUCUCUCUCUCUCUCUCUCUCUCUCUCUCUCUCUCUCUCUCUCUCUCUCUCUCUCUCUCUCUCUCUCUAUCACACACACACACACACACACACACA